GUUGCCUCCUAGUAGCGCUUGUUUAACAUCACGAGCCUGACCCAAACUUGUUUAGCACUUGUCAAUAAGUGCAAAUCCUUCCAAUACCCACCAGUAGGUGUACCUUCCUAAGUUCUUCAGUAAUUCUAUAAAAUUUAGCAUCCCCCAAUAGAUGCCACCCAAAAAUUGUUCCAAAAAUGCAAAAAUUUACAUGUUCAACAAAAACAAAAAAAAAAAAAGUUCUAAAAUACAAAAUGUGCUCUCCAGCAAAUCAACUCUUCUUCUUCAUAUUGGGAUCUUCAUCGUCCCACUUGCUCAACUUUCUUCUAUCCCCUCUUCGGGUUGCUGUGGAGUAAGGCCUUCUGAUCUAUACCAUUCCUUCCUCCUUAAGCUUCCUAUUCACAAUCCAUUUCCUGUAUUUAAAUCGCACUAACAUGCCACGCAGGAAUGGU
rnacentral:lncRNA from 1 species